rnacentral:rRNA from 1 species
CCCUUAGAUGUCCUGGGCCGCACGCGCGCUACACUGAUGCAUGCAACGAGUUUAUAACCUUGGCCUGAAAGGUCUGGGUAAUCUUUUGAACGUGCAUCGUGAUAGGGAUAGAUUAUUGCAAUUGUUAAUCUUGAACGAGGAAUUCCUAGUAAACGCGAGUCAUCAGCUCGCAUUGAUUACGUCCCUGCCCUUUGUACACACCGCCCGUCGCUACUGCCAACUGAGAUGGGUCCUGAAUUGUUAGGAACGCCCGUCAAGGGGCCUACCCGGUCCCUAGUGCGGUGACGAGAAUAACUGUAAAUGGCAUAUCUUGUAGGGAGUAAAAGUCGUAACA